GGUGCCACUGCACUCCAACCUGGGUGAUAGAGUGAGACUCCAUCUCAAAAAAAAAAAAGAAGGUGGCAUCCAGCAGGGCACAGGGUGUAUACAGCUGAGAACCCAUGACAAACUGGAAAGCAGAGUUUGGAGCCCAAGCCACCCAGAAGCACACACCACACUGAGAGCUUUUCCCAGGCAUCACAUACAGCCUUCCGUGUGAAUAAAGACCCCUUUCCCCACAAAAAAAAAGAAAGAAAGAAAGAAAGAAAAUCCAAAAACCAAACUCUUAAAACUAAUCAGAGCAUUUGGCAAGGCUGCUGGGUACAGCACCAAUAUACAAAAAUUCUAGACACAAAUAAUAACCUAUUAGCCAAUACUUGAUAUUCAAUGUAAUUUCAAACAAAGUUCAAGAGGAUUUUUUACAGAACUUAAUCUGAUUAAAACAUAAAAGUAUAAGGGCAUAAGUAACCAAGAUAAAUCUGAAAAAGAGGAAAGAUAAACAAUUUACUCUAUAAACUAUCAAGACAUAUCAUGAAGUUGACCAGUUCACCAAACACCAAUUUGUCAAAUGGCCAAUUCCAUGAAUGGCCAGUUUGACAAAGGCCAAUUUCCCAAAAGUCAGUUUGCUAAUGAAUUAACUUCACAAAUGACUGAUUCACAGAAUUUACAAGAUGUACUGAAUAG
rnacentral:lncRNA from 10 species